ACAUGGCAAAAGCAGGAGCAGGAGAGAAAGAGCGAGAGACAAAUUGGAUGGGGAAAUGCCACACACUUUUAAAUGACCAGAUCUCAUGAGAACUCACUAUCAGGAAGACAGCAUGAAGCCCUGAGGGAUUCGCCUCCAUGAGCCAAACACCUCCUACCAGGCCCCACCUCCAGUACUGGGAAUUACAAUUCAACAUGAGAUUUGGGAGGGAACAAAUAUCCAAACUCUAUCACCAUCCAUCUAUCCACAAAUGAAUACAUACAGUUAUUUAAGGAAUAUUUGUUGUGCUCAGCUCUUUGUAUACAUUGUUACAUUAAAUAUUCCCCAAAACUCUUAAGAGUUUGGGAAAUACAUUAAGAAUAAAACACGGUCCCUGCAAAAAUGGUUGCAAUAGUAUCUUCCACCCCUCAUGUAUUUUGCAAUGUGACUCUGUCAAUCCUCUCAUUAAGAGGUAGAAUCUAUUUACCCUCACCUUGAAUCUGAGCUGGUGUGUGACUUGCUUUGAUGAAUACAUUACAUUAGAGGGGAUAUUCUGAGAUUCAAAGUCCAAGGUUUAAGAGGACUGGCAGCUUUCACUUUUCUUAUAUCCCAGCUACCAUGUAUUAGUUUGACUACUCUGAGGCCACCAUGCUGCAAAGAAGCCCAAGCUAGACGUGUAAAGAAGGAGUGGUCAUAUACAUAUACAUAUAUACAGAGAGAGAGAGAGGUUUAAAGAAUUAGUUCAUGCAGUUAUAGAGAUUGGUAAGUCUAAAAUCUGCAGGGUGGGCCAGCAGGCUGGAGACCCAGGGAAGAGCUGAUAUUGCAGUUCAAGUCCAAAGGCCAUCUAUUGGAGAAUUCCUUCUUGUUUUGGUAAAGUCAGUCUUGUAUUUGAUUUGGGCCUUCAACUAAUUGGGCAAGGCCCACCCAUCUGAUGGAGGGCAAUCUGCUUUAUUCAAAGUCUACUAAUUUAAAUGUUUAUCAUGUCCAAAAGUACCCUCACAGAAACACCAGGAUAAUGUGUGACAAAAUAUCUGGGCACUGUGGUCCAGGCAAUUUGACACAUAAAAUUAACCAUCUUAUAGUCCAACCCAAUCACUAGCAUAAUAUAUUUGAGUGACCCCUGCUGACACCAUGUGGAACAGAAGAACCACCCAGCUGAGCCAUGCCCAAAUUCCUGGCUUAUAGGAUCAUGAAAACUAAUUAAUUGUUGGUUUUGAGCUACUAAGUUUUGGGGUCAUUUGUUAUACAGCAACAGAAAAUUGAAAACUGCCUUAAUGAAGGUUACAAUUUAGUGGCCUUAAUCAACAGUAAGCAUAUAGAUGUAUAAUUAUAUAAUUUGAUACAUAUUAAGAACACUUCAUUGCAUUUAUUAAAAACCCACUAGGUAAAAUUUUCCAUGGUAGUGUCAGACAAGGCUAUGGUGACAAGAUCUUCCUUUUACAGGCUCUGACUAAUUUGUAGUGGUGGCUGAGCAAACCACUGACCCUUUCUGGACCUUGGCUUCUCCAUCUAUAAAAUGGACAUGGCAGCAGACAGCCUCUCUGCCUCACAGGCUCUUAUGAAAAUUAAGUGGGACAAGAAACAAAAGUGCUAUCAAUGCUGAAAAGUCCUCUGCAAACUACGUCAUAACCGAAUAAAUGAUCCCUUGUGCCAAAAAUGCAAAAAUGUUUCACAAUUUAUUGCUUAAGCGGAAACAUCUGGCUAAGGAAACUUGAAAAAGGCAGCAACCUUUCCGACCAAAGCAAUUUCAUCUAAUAGCUGGUCUCUGGAGUCUCCCCUUCAGCUCUGAUUUGUCCGUUGCUGAGAAUUUCACUUUAAAAUAUGUGAGCCUUGCACUUUUUUUUUUUUUUUUUUGCACUUCUGCUUUCUCUAUAUUUUUGACAAGGUUAGAAAAGGAAAACCUUAAACAUGAUAAAUAUCCAUUGUUGGGCAUUCCAGCUAACGUAUAGGAAUUGUGUCCAUAAAUUUAUUCACCAAUGUCUUUUAAUUGUAGAGCAAACUGGAGGGAACCAGAAUUACAUAGGAAUCUUAGAAGCAACCUCAGCAGGCUACAAUUAGUCUACAAUGAAUGAGUUUCCCACCUGGCUUACAAGACAGUGAACCCAGAAGCCAAAUCCAACCACAUUUUGCACCUGUUUAAAAACUUGUUAAUGACUUACAGUGCCCUCUUUAUAAAGACCAAGCUCCUUGGCAUAGCACUGAGGUCCAUUCCAGUCUGACCGUUCCUUACCUCUCCAUCCCUGCUGCUCACCGCUCACCUUCUUGGGCUUCUAGUGUUAAUGCAACUGUCUCAUCUCUGGCCUCUGUGUAUACUAAUCUCCCACCUAGUACACUUUCCCGCAUCCAUCCUUGCCUAGCUAACUCCUUUGUCCUUCAUAUCUGACUUUAGAUGCCCUCUCUGAGAAAUCUUCCCUAAACCCCUAAGACUGGAUUUCAUGUUUCUUGUCUUUUACCCCUUACCACUAAGGUGGUCUUACCUCUAAGGUGUCAGAUGAUAAUUUCCAAAAAGUUAAAGGUGUGACUCUCAUGCAAAUACAUCAAAGUCUAUGCCAAAGAUUUAUUUAACUCGUUAAUGAGAGAACCAGCAGGAUGAUAAAGUUGGAUUGAAGGAACCUAUAAGAAGCUGAGUAUAUACAGAAUAGUCAGUGAAAGCAAGGAUGCUGAAGUAAGACUGCUGACCUAGGUACAAAACUGAAUAAUGUCCUAGAAGCAACACAAUUAUAACCCUUUGGAACUGUUUAUUCCAAUGGAGAGAAAUCAUUUACAUCUCUGCCAGACAAAAAUCAUUUGCAACUUAUCAAUUUCCUACAAAUUAAGAUCUAACUUUUCAGGAUCUAGACCAUAAGAAUUUGUGAUAGUGAGCCAAAUCAAGGAUUUCAGAUGACGCUUGGGCUGGCCCAUUAGACAAGGCUUUAGAAUGACACUGAAGGACACACAGACAUCUUGCUGGGUAAUUUUUAAUGUGCGUGUGUGUGUGUGUGUGUGUGUGUGUGUGUGUGUGUGUGUUUACCAGUGACAUCAAUACUCCUUUGUAACUACCUGUUAUCUUGUCUGAAAUUCCCAGUAAACUGAAAGCAUCUAGGGACAACAAUUGUGUUUUGUUUACUCUUGUAGCCUCUGACCCUAGUUUAGUGCCUAAGAUAUAGUAGGCACUCAGAUAGUUAUUACUGAAUGAGUUAAAAGACUUCUCUUUCAGCAUUGAGGUCCCCCCUUCAAGGAGCCUACCAGUUUCCCACAGAUCCAGAUUAUGAAUGAUGAGGAUUCUAGGCAUUGAUUCCAGCCCAAUCUUUCCCCAACUCCAGCCAAGUGUCCCCUGUGACCCGCAUCCCCUCAGUCAUUUCUCCUGCUUUGUUCUACUGCACAAGCCCUAAUAGUCACCUGGAUGAUCAGGCACAGAAGGCAGCAAGAAAGAAGCAUGUCUCUGUGCAAGAAGCAGGGUCUCGCUUUUCAGGGCCCCCUGCCUAGCCCCAGUCCCAGCAGAUUGGCUAGAACUGAGGCCUGAUGCCUGGUGCUGCCUCUGGGAGCACAAGGGCUCCUUCUGUUCCUGGAUUCAACUCCUCAGGGACAGCUACUGGGGCUCCAGGCACGUUGCUCAUCAUUCUAACUGGCUCACAGGGCAGCCAGAUUUUCUCACAGAUAAUGAGCCUGUAUAAUUUACAUCAAGACUAAAUUAUGCAUUUAACAACGUGUUGUUCAGCAGGGAUAAACUGCCUGGUUUGUGAAUUGCUUUUCUUCCCACAGGAGGGAGGUACAACAGAGGGAGUGGAGACGGGGUGCACUCCACACACCUUCCAGUUAUGAGGGGUCUGGAAAAGUCUGGAAAGAAAGGAAUUGAAAUAGCAGACAUCCACACUGAAGCUUUUCCUCUGAAAAAGGAAAAUAAUGUGACCAAAUAAUUUAUCAUCCAUCCAAGAACAUUUUUGAGUACUCUUAAAAAUUACACCAGAACCACAGGAAUAAACCACAGCUGCUCUGGAAGGGUCCUGGGCAAGCUGGACCUAAGAGCACCCCAGAAAUGAAAGUCUUUGUUUCUUUUUAAAAAAUUGUUGACAUCACUGAACAGAGCUCAGUGUGCAGCCCACUGUAUCAAGUCCUAGACCAGCCAACGAAAGCUGCGUUGAACCUAUCCUGCAGCAGAAACACUGGUGAAGAAGCCUGGAGAAACAGAGGCCUGCAGUACCCAGUAACUAACCAGGCUGCACGAAUGGAGCAUGAGAACACCCUACAGCCUGUUAUUUGCUGCAUGUUUCUACGGGCACCAGCAAAGCACAACUUCUAGUAAUGGGAUCAGUAACCCAAGUGACGGAACUGAAAAGGCAAGUCUGAAUUUAUCUCCAUCUGUCAUGUUCCAGUGAACAAUGAAAGCACAGUAAAGGGAAACGCUGCUUCUUG